ensembl:lncRNA
ACCAACUCCUGGAGUUCACUCAGACUCACAUCCAUCAAGUCAGUGAUGCCAUAUUAGCUAUCGAAAAAAAUCCAUUAUUCUCUUCCAUCAUCAUAGAGUCAUAGUUAGGAAGCAAUUACCAAUAAUUACAAGGAUUGUUGAAGCCAUUAGGAUUAUUCAUGAUGAUUCUAUUUCUCCUCCAUUUGGACGUACAAAAGAAACUAUUAAUUUCUCAGCACCUUAUGAUAGUCCAGAAAGAUGGCUCUCCCUUUUUCGGUGGAAAAUUUAACAUAAUUUCCUGAUUUCAUCAUCUUUGAAAGUGCUUUACCAAGCACAGUUGCUCCUCUGUUGUCAAGACAGGCCCUGAGUUAUGGUGAGAAUUAAAGGAGAUAAAUAAAGUAGAUGUCAUUAUAAAAGCAAAGUUUUUACUGCAGUACCUGGCACAUAGCAAUCAUCCAAUACAUGGUACAAAUGAUCAUUAUUAG